ACUAACAAGGAUUCCCCUAGUAACUGCGAGUGAAGCGGGAAAAGCUCAAAUUUAAAAUCUGGCGGUCUUUGGCCGUCCGAGUUGUAAUCUAGAGAAGUAAUGCCCGUGCUGGACCGUGUAUAAGUCUCCUGGGAUGGGGCGUCAUAGAGGGUGAGAAUCCCGUCUUUGACACGGACUACCAGUGCAUUGUGGUAUGCUCUCAAAGAGUCGAGUUGUUUGGGAAUGCAGCUCAAAAUGGGUGGUAAAUUCCAUCUAAAGCUAAAUAUUGGCGAGAGACCGAUAGCGAACAAGUACCGUGAGGGAAAGAUGAAAAGAACUUUGGAAAGAGAGUUAAACAGUACGUGAAAUUGCUGAAAGGGAAACGCUUGAAGUCAGUCGCGUUGGCCGGGAAUCAGCCUUGCUUUUGCAUGGUGUACUUUCUGGUCGACGGGUCAGCAUCAAUUUUGAUCACUGGAAAAGGCUCAAGGGAAUGUGGCAGCUUCGGCUGUGUUAUAGCCCCUGUUCACAUACAGUGGUUGGGAUUGAGGAACUCAGCACGCCGCAAGGCCGGGUUUCGACCACGUUCGUGCUUAGGAUGCUGGCAUAAUGGCUUUAAGCGACCCGUCUUGAAACACGGACCAAGGAGUCUAACAUGCCUGCGAGUAUUUGGGUGGAAAACCCAGGUGCGCAAUGAAAGUGAAAGUUGAGAUCCCUGUCGUGGGGAGCAUCGACGCCCGGACCAGAACUUUUGGGACGGAUCCGCGGUGGAGCAUGUAUGUUGGGACCCGAAAGAUGGUGAACUAUGCCUGAAUAGGGUGAAGCCAGAGGAAACUCUGGUGGAGGCUCGUAGCGAUUCUGACGUGCAAAUCGAUCGUCAAAUUUGGGUAUAGG
rnacentral:rRNA from 1 species